rnacentral:rRNA from 1 species
CUACCAGGGUUUCUAAUCCUGUUUGCUACCCACGCUUUCGCGCCUCAGCGUCAGUGUCAGUCCAGAAGGCCGCCUUCGCCACUGGUAUUCCUCCCGAUCUCUACGCAUUUCACCGCUACACCGGGAAUUCCACCUUCCUCCCCUGCACUCUAGCCUGCCAGUUCCGAACGCCGUUCCCGGGUUGAGCCCGGGGCUUUCACAUCCGGCUUGGCAAGCCGCCUACGCGCCCUUUACGCCCAGUAAUUCCGAUUAACGCUUGCACCCUCCGUAUUACCGCGGCUGCUGCAC